rnacentral:lncRNA from 1 species
ACGGGGACUUCACGGUCUGUGAGCGCUGACAAAUAUACCUUGAGUCUCCAGAUAGCGGGUCCAAUAGCUAAAAUCUCGAUCAACCCGAUUCGGUACCCAAAUCUGCACAGAAAGUGCAGAGUGCAGUAUCAGUACAAUCGACCCCAUGUACUGGUAAGUGUCGAGCCUAACCUCGACGAAGUAGUAACGGCAAGGCACCUACAAAUCAACCUGUGCAGUUUAACAAUGUAUAUACAAAUAAAGUAAUGAAGAAUUAGACAGGAGAUAUCAGGGGGGGACAUGAUGGGGGAAAUACGAGAUAAAGAAGUACAACAAAAUGAUAACUGAAAUAACCAAUAUAUUAUGAAUCAACAGGAACACGAAUACAGUAAAGGAAAAACUCACGGCAUCACCCUUCAUGCUUUUACUCUCAACCUCACCAUAAAAAUCAAUAGAAACAGCACAACAUCACCCUUCGUGCAUUAACUCUCAUAUCAUGGUACGACAUCACCCUUCGUGCAUUAACACUCAUAAUAUGGCACGACAUCACCCUUCGUGAUUUUACACUCACAAUAUGGCACGGCAUCACCCUUCGUGCAUUAACACUCACAAUAUGGCACGAUAUCACUCUCCGUGCAUUAACAAUCUCCCUUACCAUAAUGCAAAGCAUAAAUAACAACAGGGAGAUAGAAUAACAAGUACAAGCAUUACUUCAACAUUUGGUUCCAUAAUAUCAAUAUAAACUUUGAAAUAAUUUCUCAAUUAUCACGAGAAAAUCCGUAAACAUGAUAAGAACGACCAAUUUAACAACUCUAGUAUAAAUAUGUAGCAAUUAGGCAUAAGAAAAAGACAAUAUAAGAAAAACAGAAGAAACAGGGAAAACAGAUAAAUUGGCGGCGCAUAAGUACUCAUCACCUCACAUAUACGCCGCUCACAUGAAUUUCACAUAACAAAUAGUCUAGGGUUCCUAAUUCCCUCAAGUCAGGGUUAGACACAAUACUUACCUCGCUCUGAAGGCCACUUAUUUCUCAAUCACAUCUUUUCCUCUAGAAUUCACCUCCAAACCACUCGUAUCUAUUCAAAAAUGACUCAAUAAUAUCAAAUAUUGCUGAAAGAGUCAAUUAUAUUGCAUAAAUUAAAUUUCCCAAAUUUUCCUCCAAAAAGUUAAAAAUCGACUCGAGCCCACUUCGUCAAAACACGAGGUUCGGACCAAAAUCCAUUUACACAUUCACCCCCUAGCCCGGAUAUAUAAUUGGUUUUGGAAUCCGACCUCAAAUUGAGGUCUAAAUCCCCAAAUUUUCAAAAUUCCUAGUUUCUACCCUAACCCCUAAUUCAACCAUGAAAACUCUAGAAUUUAGGUUGAUAAUUCAUAAAAUGUAAUAGGUAAUUGAAAUAAAAUGGUUUAGAAUCACUUACCAACACUUUGGGGAAGAAAACAACUCUGGAAAAUCGCCUCUAGUCCGUUUGUUUUGUGAAAAGUGGGAAAAAUGGCUUAAUCCCGUGUUGGAUUCUGUUUUAAGUGCUGGGCAAUAGUGUGCAUCACGUUCGCAAGGCCACUGUCACGUUUGCGAAGAGCAUUGGAUGCCAAGCCUUCGCGUUCGCGAGACAGUGUUCCUAUUCGUAUAGACUACCCCCUGGCCUUCGCGUUCGCGAUGAAAUAAAGGCUGACUCCCCCAGUGCCUAACACUACGCGUUCGCGAUGAGCUUGUCACGUUCGCGAAGGGUAAUGCCACAUCGCUUCGAAUUCACGACCAAGCCCUCGCGUUCGCGAAGAAGGACAUGCCAGAAAACCAGAUUUUCCAAAGUCCAAAACAUCCUGUGGCUUAUCCGAAACUCACCAGAGCCCUCGGGGCUCCAAACCAAACAUGCACACAAGUCUAAAAAUAUCAUACGAACUUGUUCGCGCGAUCAAAUCGCCAAAAUAACAGCUAAAACUAUGAAUUUAGCACCAAAUCAAAUGAAAUUCUCAAGAACACUUUAAAAUUCGUAUCUUUUCAACUGGACGUCCGAAUCACGUCAAAUCAACUUCGUUUCUCACCAAAUUUCACAGACAAGCCUUAAAUAUUAUAAUGAACCUGCACCGGGCUCCGGAACCAAAAUACGGACCCGGUACUAACAAUGCCAAACAUCACUCAAUUCUUAAAAAUAAAUAAUUUUAGACUUUUAAAUUUUAUCAAAAAUUCAUAACUCGAUCUAGGGACCUCCGAAUUUGAUUCCGGGCAUACGCCCAGGUCCCAUAAUUCAAUACGGACCCACCAGGAUCGUCAAAAUAUGGAUCUGAGCCCGUUUACCAAAUAGUUUGACCGAAUUUAACUAAAAUCAACUUUUAAGGCAUAGAUUUUUAUUUUUAUCAGUUUUUCACAUAAAAGUUUUCUGGAAACACGCCCGAAUUGUGCACACAAAUCGAGGAGAUUAAAAAUGAGAUUUUUAAGGCUUAAAAGUGCAGAUUCGAGUUCUAAAACAUAAGAUGACCUUUUGGGUCAUCACACAUAAAUCCAAAUCUCUUUUCGUUUUUUAGCUUAAACAAACAAAAACGUCAUAUCUCAAUCUACUAAUGAAACUAGACAAGCUUAAUUCUAAUAAAUAAUUCAUAUCAAUAAAUAAAUAACUGAAACAUGACAAAGCUCAUGAGAGCUCAAUAGAUGACGUGAAGAUUCAAAAAUUAUUUGCUAAGAAAAACUUUUAUAUUUGAAGGAUGAGUGCAAAAAAGAUGUAAUAGGUGAGUAAUAGACCUUUGGUAUAAAUCAACUAGAUUGGAAUUACAAGAGGUUAAACAACUCGACAACUCUUGACCGGAGCUUUCGCCGGUGAACCCGGACGGAAUCGGCAACUCGAGACCUCAACGGAAACCUCAACCUCCACUUAGAUGCCACUGUUUACGUUCAAAACGGGGAUGUUCAGAGGGUGUGCUUAGCUGGGAAGAAGGCCAUUUUUGGGUGGUUUUGGAGUGUAGAUGAAAGCUGGGUUUAGAGGUCCUUUUUCUUAGUGGUUAGUGGCUAAUUUUAAUGGAGAUUUACAAGAGUUUUGGGGCUGGUUUUAGCUCUAAUUUUGGCGGGGGGUUUGAUGGUGUUUAUUGGCUUAAACAGGGCGACACUUUGGAGCUGGUUUAGGAGCUUUAUGUGAUGGUGUUAAUGGAAGCUUGUUGAUGGAGUUUGGUGGAGGAAAAAGGAGCUUUUGUCUGUUGCUUGAUAAUGGAGAAGCAGACCAAAAAGAUGAUGACAAUUUUUUCGGCGCUCGUCCCCUCUUUUUCUUUCUUUUUUUUGGGGGGAGGGGUUCGUGAGUUCUUUUGAAGGAGGGAAUAUGUGGGGGGUUGUGAGUAGGGAAAGCAUUGGGGAAAAGCAUGGGGGACAAGGGAAAGUGAAAUGGGGACAAAGUGUGGGGGGACAAAGAGUGGGGGCAAGGGAAAGUGGAGUAAAGACACGCGUGGGAAGAUGGGAGCAGGAAAGAUGGAGUGAGAAUUAAGGUAUUGAUGAGAUGAGUGGGAAAAAUUCAAGCACAGUCAAAAAUUAGGUGCUCACAGCAUGCCCUUCUUUGCUUGGAAACAUGAAGAGUUUUCAAGCAAGAAAAGAUGAGCGAUAUGACUAAUAUUUGGCCAUACCAUUAUUCAAAAGGGAAGAGAUAAGAGAAAAAUGUGUGACCGAAUCCUGGUUAUGGACAACCUACAUAUCCCAGGUUAUAAGGAAAUUAGACUUGGUGUAGUUCAAGGAAAAGGAUGGAAUGAUGAGUUGGAGAGUAAAGUGAGGUUCCGUCGAGGCUCUGGUCUGUAGUCCAGUUAUUACAUCAAAAAUCAAAAAGAAACUAAACAAACCUAUCAGCUAUGAGUUACAAGAUUCCUAUCUAUAAGUCUUAUAAAACUUGAUCUUGAAUCUUGACUGGUUCUUCACAUAGAUUCUGAUCUGAACCUUGAUGCUUGCUAGCUGUGGGUGCUAGUUCAUUCUUCUAUGACUUCUUCUAAUCAAAAUGAUAAAUGCAAUGCUCGUGACUUCAGUCGUCUUGAGCAGUCCAUAUCCUUUCCAUCUGCUUCUGUAUUGGGAUUCACUUUUCUCUCUUUUUAUUCAUUUAUUUUGGACUAAGACCUUUUCUUUUGUUCAUCACUAACCCUGUGCUUCGAGGUAAAACCUGCUCAGGCAUCACAACAAAUAAACGAACAGAAUUUUUCUGCCCCAAUUUUCACUAGGAAAAUUUCGUGAGUUAUUGUAACAGAAUUCUAAACUACUUCUUUAUUGAAAGAAAUAAAAGAUCGGGAAUGGUGUACCCUGAAAAGGUCAUGAUGUUUUUUUUGGGAUAGUUUUCCUUUAUUGUCCUAAAUAAUGUCUCAACUAAGGAUUGUUGUACCUUAUGUUGGGAAAAUGUGGCCAAAGAAUAGGAUACCCUAUAUUGGCAAUAAUAUCAGGGAGUGAUAUAUCUUGCAUUUAAGAUCAAAUAAACUAGGGAGUGGUGUACCCUAUGUUGGAGAACACAGCUAAGGAUUAGUGUACCAUAUACUGGUAAGGAGAUCAGGAAUUGGUGUACCCUAUACUGGUAAGGAAAUGUAAUCAGGGGAUGGUGCCUUGUAUUACUGAGAAGGAAAUGUAAUCAGGGGAAGGUGCCCUGCAUUACUGAAAAGGAAAUGUAACCAAGCGUAACCAGGGGAUGGUGCCCAUGUAUUACUGAAAAGGAAAUGUAANNNNNNNNNNNNNNNNNNNNNNNNNNNNNNNNNNNNNNNNNNNNNNNNNNNNNNNNNNNNNNNNNNNNNNNNNNNNNNNNNNNNNNNNNNNNNNNNNNNNNNNNNNNNNNNNNNNNNNNNNNNNNNNNNNNNNNNNNNNNNNNNNNNNNNNNNNNNNNNNNNNNNNNNNNNNNNNNNNNNNNNNNNNNNNNNNNNNNNNNNNNNNNNNNNNNNNNNNNNNNNNNNNNNNNNNNNNNNNNNNNNNNNNNNNNNNNNNNNNNNNNNNNNNNNNNNNNNNNNNNNNNNNNNNNNNNNNNNNNNNNNNNNNNNAAAGNAAAUGUAACCAGGGGUUGGCGUCUUGUAUUACUGAAAAGGAAAUAUAACCAGGGGUUGGCACCCUGUAUUACUGAAAAGGAAAUGUAACCAGGGGUUAGCGCCCUGUAUUACUGAAAAGAUGCUGAAUCCCCCUAAGCGAAAAGGUUCUACUUGGGUUUAAGAUAAGUAAAACAUUGUGAGCGAAGAGUACUUCUACCCGAAAAUAUGAGCUGAAUCCCACUAGGCGAGAAGGUUCUACCUGAGUUAAGCUAUUAAAAACAUCAUGAGUGAAAAGUACUUCUACCCGGAACUAGGAGUUGGAUCACCCUAGGCGAUAAGGUUCUACCUAGGUUAAGCUACGAAAAACAUCCUGAGAAAAAGUACUUCUACCCGGAACUAGGAGCUGGAUCACCCUAGGCGAUAAUGUUCUACCUGGGUUAAGCUACGAAAAACAAGCCUGGGCGAAAAGUACUUCUUCCCAGAAAUAUGAGCUGGAUCCCCCUAGGUGAAAAGGUUCUACCUGGGUUAAUCUACGUAAAGCAAGUGUAGGCGAAGAGUACUUCUACUCAGAAAUAUGAGCUGGAUCCCCCCAGGCGAAAAGGUUCUACCUGGGUUAAACUACAAAAAUGAGAGGUAUGGACAAUAGUGAUGCAUUCUGAAAAUAAAAUAAAAUGGAGAUUUUGAGGAACUUACCUUUGGUGAUAUUCGUCCUUUGAGAAUCGCCAUUCUGCACCACUUUGUUCCUAUUUAAAAGAAAGAAAAAAAAAUUGUGAGUUUUCAAAGAGGUGGUUGGUUUGCGGCCUUGUUGCCCUAAGUAGCUUGAAGUCACGACCACUGUUGUAGAAGGACCGAUUCUGCCAGUAUUGAACUGAGAUGCUUGGAUACUCUGCAUGGCUUCCUAGAUACCUUGGCUCUCCGAUGUUGCCCCCGACUGUUUCAUAUCCGGAUGUCCAUGGUACCGCUAACCCUUGUCCCUAGGGCAAGGUAAAUUUCCUUUAAAAUUAAACUUAGUUGUCUUUCACAUUGCACCAGCUCGUGUCUAUAGUGCUUAUCAACUUUUCCCAUGAAGCAAGUCUUGCUUAGGCAAACUUUCCAGUUUCUUAGAGAUGCUUUGUUCGUCUUAACAAAAGAGAUCACAGAUGGAUUCAUUCCUUCAUCAAUGCCGUAUAUGCCCCAAAUUAUGAUUGAUAUUACAAGGAAACUAUAGUCAGCUUUGCAGCCAUUUCUUUUCUUUGCUUUGAUGCAAGAUUAGACUGAAAAAGGACACAAAGAAAAAUUAUGGGUUAAAAUAGAAAAGCAAUUGAAAGUGAAAAAAGGAAUUGUGUCUAAACAAAAGGUGCCCAUUUCAGGGGAGGGGAAUAUGGGGACUUAUCUGGAGGUAUGUGCCGACUUCAAUGAAUCAUGACAUGCAUUUUGGAUUGGACGCUUGAUCCGUCUGAGCUGUCUAAUUCUCAAAAUCCAUUGCAAAUGUUUAUCUUGAAACUAUCUUGGUUGUGCUCAUGAUGGAGCAUCGAAGACCGUCAUUCGGCUAGUAGCGCCCUUUGCGGGUUUUUGCUAAUUGACCUCUCUCAUUUCUCUACUCACCGUCGCCUUAUGGUGCCCAUCUGGGUUUUCACUAUAAGACUCUCAUUUUCAAUUUCUAUGCUCGCCAUCACCCUAUGGUGCCCAUGAGGGUUUUCACCAAUAAGACUCUCUCAUUUUAUUUCUCUCAUUUUUGUUGUAUCAGAUCCAAAUGACUGUAUCCUCCAAUUCUUGGACAUUCUCAUUGAUUGAUCGGAAGGACUUGAAAAUGAUUUGGAUAAAAUGAAUUUGGAUUGAAUUACAACUUUGGGACCUUUCAGGCGAAACCAUUGCCGAACCAUUGUAAUAUUUGCCCUAGUUUUCACUUUUGGGGAAUGUGGAUUUUUGUUUUGGUGUGACUGAACCCCAGGGAGAGGCUGCCUACGUAUCAUUUCGGAAUCAAGUCGAACGUAGUUCAAUGACUCAGAAGAAGUAUUUUUUUUCUUCUUUCUUUUUUUUGUUUUUUUUUGUUUUCCGAUUUUCUUUAUUUUUUACACGGGUUCCAAAAGGAGGGAAAACUAAGAAAAUAAAUAUGGCUUAAAAGGGUUAACAAAAUGGUGACACUUAUUUUGGGUGGUGAGCAAUGAUAGCCUUCGUCACUCGAUAUGAGAAAAUCAUGCUUGAAAGUUUUGUAGUAGAUAUAUAUCAUACAUAAUAUCUUUUGACUGCAUCUGCGUUAAUAAUCGUGUCUGGUACCCGUCCUUCUUCAUCUACCAAGUGUAAGGCCCCUUUUGGUAACACUUUCUUGAUGAUGUAGUGUCCUUGCCAGUUCGGGACAACUUUCCUUUAGCUUCUACCUGGUGUGGAAGGAUGCAUUUCAAAACGAGUUGGCCUACCUCAAAGUGACUUGGACGCAAUUUCUUGUUGUAAGCGUGUGCCAUUCUUUGCUGUUAUAAUUGGCCGAAACAUACUGCUGCCAGCCAUUUUUCAUCAAUCAACAUUAACUGUUCUAAUCGUGUCUUUACCCGUUAUGUAUCCUCAAUCUCUGAUUCCAUAAUGAUCCGGAGAGAGGGAAUUUUGACUUCAGCCGGUAUUAUAGCCUCCUUCCCAUAUACCAUCAGAUAAGGAGUUGCACCAACAGAUGUGCGAGCAAUCGUGCGGUAUCCCAAAAUAGCAAAAGGCAAACUUUCAUGCCAUUGUCAGGAACCUUGGAUCAUCUUUCUAAGAAUCUUAUUAAUGUUCUUGUUUGCCGCUUCAAUGGCUCAAUUGGCUUUAGGUCGGUAAGGGGUAGAAUGACGAUGCACAAUUUUAAAUUGCUCGUGUACUUCCUUUAUCAAAUGACUAUUUAGAUUGGCUGCAUUAUCAGUGAUAAUGGUCUUUGGAAUACCAAAACGGCAUAUGAUGUUGGAAUGAACAAAGUCUACUACUGCUUUCUUGGUGACUGCUUUGAAAGUGACGGUCUCCACCCACUUGGUGAAGUAAUCAAUUGCAACCAUUAUAAAUCUAUGCCCAUUUGAAGCCUUUGGCUCGAUUGGCCCAAUAACAUCCAUUCCCCAAGCAAUGAAAGGCCAAGGAGAGGAUAUGGGAUACAACUUCGAAGGAGGUGAGUGAAUUAGGUCACCAUGAAUCUGGCAUUGGUGACACUUGCGAACAAAAUUGAAGCAAUCUCGCUCCAUAGUAAUCCAAUAAUACCCUGCCCGCAGAAUAUUCUUCGCCAAAACAUAUCCAUUCAUGUGGGGUCCGCAUGCCCCCGAAUGCACUUCAACCAUGAUCCGCUCAGCUUCUGUGGCAUUUAUGCAUCUCAUCAAGUUCAAAUCUGGGGUCCUUAUAGUUCUUUUUUGAUCUCUCUUGGCAUGCUCCGGGUAUUCCCUUGUUUUUAGGAAUCAUUUUAUGUCAUGAUACCAUGGUUCACUAUCUGGUUCUGUCUCAAUAGUAUUACAAUAACCAUGUUGAUUCCGAACUUAGAUUUGUAAUGGAUCAAUAUGAGUGUUGCCUGGAUACGGGAGCAUCGAGGCUAAAGUAGCCAAGGCGUCGGCUAGCUCGUUGUGAAACCUAGGAAUGUACCUGAAUUCGAUGAAUUUGAAUCUUUUUCUCAGGUCUUGUACACAUUGUCUGUAUGGAAUAAGCUUGAUGUCUCUAGUCUCCCAUUCGCCUUGGGCUUGCCGGAUAAGCAAGUCGAAAUCUCUCAUAACCAAUAGUUCAUGCACAUCUAGAUCGAGGGCAAAUUUCAAACCCAUGAUACAAGCUUUGUAUUCUGCCAUAUUAUUAGUAUAGAAGAACUGAAGUCGGGCCGUUGCAGGGUAAUGCUGUCCAAUAGGUGAGACGAGGAUUGACCCGAUCUCAACUCCUUUGAUAUUGACAGCACCAUCAAAAUACAUUUUCCAUACUUGGUUGUCAUCCGGAACUACUUCCUCUAUUGAGUUGACCUCUUUGUUUGGGAAGUAUGUGCUAAGUGGCUUGUAAUCAUCAUCAAUUGGAUUCUCUACCAAAUGAUCUUCCAAAGCCUUUGCUUUCAUUGCGGUGCGAGUGACAUAGACGAUGUCGGCCUACCAGUGGGCAUUAGCUUUUGGAAGAUGUACUUCAAAGGAUCCAUUCUGGAUAUGAGGUAAGUAGUGUAGGCCAAAAUAUAAUGCCUCAGCUUCUGAGCGACCCAAGUCAAGGCACAACAUGUCCUUCCUAAAAGGGUGUACUUAACCUCAUAAUUGGUGAACUUCCUGCUCAAAUAAUAGAUUUCUUGUUCCUUUUUGUCUAUCGCAUCAUGUUGCCCUAGAACGCAUCCAAAGGAAUUAUCCAUCACCGAUAGAUAUAAAAACAAAGGUCUACUAGAUUUAGGUGGGACCAGUACAUGGGGUUUUGAUAGAUAAUCUUUGAUAUUAUCAAAAACUUUUUGGCAAUCGUUUGUCCACUUGAUAGAAACAUCAUUUUCAACAACUUAAAGAUGGGCUCACACGUGUUUGUGAGCUGAGCAGUGAACCUACUGAUGUAGUUCAAUCUCCCGAGCCAACUCAUGACUUCAAUUUUAUUUUUUAGGGGUGGCAGAUCUCGAAUGGACUUUGUCUUAGAUGGAUCCAAUUUGAUGCCUCUCCGGCUGACUAUAAAACUGAGGAGUUUCCCAGAUGGAACCCCAAAUGCACACUUGGUUGGAUUGAGCUUAAGGUCAUACCUUCGAAGCCGUUUGAAGAACUUUUUCAAAUCGCGCACGUGAUCAGUCUGUGUCUUUGAUUUUAUGAUGACAUCAUUGACAUAUACUUCAAUCUCUUUGUGCAUCAUGUCAUGAAAAAUGGUGGUCAUGGCCCUCAUGUAUGUUUUCCCCGCAUUCUUUAAACCAAAUGGCAUGACCCUGUAACAAUAGGUGCCCCAUGGAGUGGUGAAAAUGGUCUUUUCUGCAUCAUCCUCAUCCAUUAGAAUCUGGUGGUAUCCGGCAUGGCAAUCCAUAAAAGAUUGUAUCUCAUGCUUAGCGCAGUUAUCUACUAGUAUGUGGAUGUUUGGUAAAGGAAAAUUAUCCUUUGGACUUGCUUUGUUCAGGUGCCUGUAGUCAACACAGACUCUGGUUUUUCCAUCCUUCUUUGGCACAGGUACAACAUUUUCCACCCAAGUGGUGUAUCGUACGACUCUGGCUACAUUGGCGCUCAUUUGCUUCAUUAUAUACUCUUUGAUUUUAUCACUCAUAUUCAUUUUGAAUUUUCGUUGCUUUUGUUGGACUGGUGGAAAAUCAGGAUAUGUGGAAAGCUUAUGAACCACUAAAUCGGCUCUUAAACCUUGCAUAUCAUCAUAAGACCAAGCAAACACAUCUCUGUACUCAAAUAAAAUUUGAAUCAAGACAUCUCUAGUUUCUUGUUUUGCGUGAAUGCUUAUCUUUGUUUCCCUAAAUUUUUCACGACCUCCGAUAUUAAUUGGCUCAGUUUCGUUGAGGUUGGGCCUAGGCUUGUUUUCAAAUUGUUCCAACUCUCUUUUUAUUUCCUCAACAACCUCAUUUUUAUCAUAUUCGACCUCUUAAUACAUUAUUUCAAAAUUAGACAGCUUUUUAAGAUCUGGGCAUGAAUUCCGCAAGCAUGUCAUGUUAUUAAAGCCGGCAUUAACAAAACUGAAAUGGAAAAUAAAAUGACAAGAAUUAGGAAAAGGAAAAGAUACUAUACUUAAUACGAAAUUGAACUGCAUUUCAUUGAAUUUGAAAGGAUAGAAGGGUUAACAUCAAAAUAAAACAAUCAUACUAAGAUGUUUGGAUUACAACCCUGAAAGUAACCCAAAGUAAAAAAAAAAAUGAAGCUGCAAAAACAAACUACCAAGACUCCUUCCUUGUGGGGAGAGGAGUUGCUUCCCAAUUAUUGAGCACAGUGUCUAGGCCAAUUAGUUGCAUAUCGGCACGACUAGUGCCUUCACCGGCCAUGGAAAAUUUCAUCAAUGUUCGCCUGUGCCAAGGAAUUUUGACCCUCUUUAAGUCGUGGCUUGACAAAAGUGUAGAAAAUGUGAGGGAUAGGUUUCUGCAAGACCCACCCAUGCUUUUUGCGAUGCUUGGCUUUGUCUUCAUCUGCUUGUGUUGGCCUGAAACCUAAACCAAAAGUGCCAUUGUUACUGAACGGAGAAAUGGGUUCCGAAAUUCCUUGCAACGAUGCCCCCAAGACUUUUCCUAGAUCAUAACCUUGUGUCAUCAUAAGUGAAGCCACCAUUACAUAUGUGGCAGAGAGACGAGGAUGCAGAAUGGGCGUUCGUUCCUUAACAUGGUCCACAACAACCACUUCAAAAUCCUGAUAGACAAUAGACUCACAUCCUUCCUUGGCCUCAAUACAAGGGAUUAACAGGUCUUUAUAAAUGGAUGACUCAUGUUCUCCGUGAACAAUAAUUUCUUGCAUGUCGUGUUCAAAUUUGAGCAUCUGAUGCAAAAUGGAUGGCACAGCUAGGGCCGUAUGAAUCCAUGUCCUUCCAAUAAGAAAGUUCUAAGAAGUUUCCAUCUCCCCAAAUGGUAUCUCUCGCUGAACUAUCAAAAGCCCGGAUGCGAACAUUGAUGGGUCAGAUUCUGUCUGUAUUGAUAUUCAUGCUUUGCAAAGUAGAGAGAGGGCAUAUAUCUUCUCUCGAGCCUCCAUCAACCAUGACUCGCUUUACAUAAUGCCCCUCACAUUUGACAAUCAGGUGCAAAGCCUUAUUGUGCCCGUCUCCCUCCUCGGGAUGUUCAUCAUCUGUAAAGGAGAUUAGGUUCACCUAAAAGGACCUGUUGGCCAUCUUCUCUAACUGAUUCACGGUGGUCUUCUCUGAGACAUGUUCCUCGUUCAAGAUUGUGAUUAGUAUACGGGCAUGUUCUUUUGAGUGUAUGAGUAAAUAUAACAGAGAGAUUUGUGCAGGAGUCUUUCUCAACUGGUCAAUGAUUGAGUAAUCCUGAACUUUUAUCUUUUUCAAAAACUCCUCCGCCUCUUCUUCCGUGACCGGUUUCUUUAUUGGCAUUUGUCCUUCCUCAACUCUUCUGGAGAGUAACACCUUCCUGAUCGAGUCAAACCUCCGGUUUCCCCCACUUCUUCAAGGAUUUCCUUGCAUUUGUAGGUUACUAUAAUUUUGUUGUAGUUCCAAGGAAUGGUUUUCGUGUUUGUCACACGGGGUUGUAAGGCAGGCUUGAUUAUGAUCGGCUCUAUUAUACCCUUCGUGCCGUCCUGAUUCUGCUUUGUGAUGGGGUGACAUCAUAGGACAUAUAACUUUGGGCUUGGAAUAUUGGAGAAAACUUCCAACCUCGAGAUUUUUGGGACAAAUAAAGUUGCCUUCUCUGAGCUCUGGGCACCUUUCACAAUCAACGGCACAUCUCGGCUUGGACUUACUUCCGGUUUGGUUCCCUCUUGAAUCGUUCCCACUGUCAUUUUUGCUUGACCAAAUGGCUUGUUUUCUUGAUCUCGGCUAAUCAUUCCCACAAAAUGAACAUCAUUGUGUACUAGCAACGAGUUAUUGGUCACAUUAGGAGGGUCCUUGCCAUUCGUGACUACGAUCAAGUUUUCAAUAAUGAGUCUUUCUAUGGCUCUUUUCAGGGUCCAACAAUCACUAAUGUUAUUCCCUAGAGCACAUGAACGAUAUUCACAUCUAACGUUUGCUUGAAAUCCAUGUGAAUCAGGAUGCAUAUGGUGGGGAGUGAUGGGUCCAAUCACGCCCAUCUACUUUAACUUUUGGAACAGACUAUAGUAUGAUUCAACCAAUGGAGUAAACGUUUCCACCGGCCUCUGCUCUCGACCAUAAUCCUGCCUAGGACGAGCAUUGUAGGGUGCCCGAAAAUUUUGCUGGUGAGGUCGGGGGAAUCUUGGAGCUGGUGCCUAUAUCUGUUGAUUGGGAGGCUGAGCAUAUGAUUGAGCAUUAAAUACUAUAAAUUAUGGCGGGCCCACAGAGUACUAAGGAAUUGGCGGGGGAUAGUAAUGUCGAGGGUAGCUGGAUGGCCCUUGUUGAACUUGCACAUAAGGGUGCGAUGCCCCUCUUUAAACUUCCCUGGAUCCCAAAGUCAUUAUGGACCCUUCAUCUCUCUUCUUUCUAUUUGCCAAACUUCCCGACCCAUUUUGGAUAGCUUGGGUGGUGGAUUUGAGAGCAUCUUGACUUAUAAUUCUGCCAGUCUUGAGGCUAUUUUCGACCAUCUCUCCUAUUUUGAUCGCUUUCGCAAAAGUUCUACCCAUUGCGGACAUCAUGUUCUAAAAGUAUUCAGGAUCUUGAGCUUCCAGAAAAAUAGUGAUCAACUCGUGUUUAUCCAUGGGUGGCUUAACUCUAGCCGUUUGCUCCCUCCACUUGAUUGCAUACUCCCUAAAGCUUUCAGUCGCUUUUUUCUUCAUAUUGGACAUGGAAUUGCGAUCCGGCGCAAUAUCAAUGCUGUAUUGAAAUUGUUUGACGAAGGCCUGGGUCAUGUCGUCCCAGACAUGCUAGUGAGAGAUAUGUUGGUUAAUGAACCAUUCAGAGGCUACCCCCACAAGACUUUCCCCAAAAUAGGCCAUCAUCAAUUCUUCUUUUCCACCUGCACCCCUCAGCUGGUUGCAGUACCUUUUCAAGUGGGCGAUAGGGUCGUCGUGUCUAUCAUUCUUCUCAAAUUUUGGGGUCUUGAACCCUGGUGGCAAAUGGAUGUGAGGGAACAUGCAUAAAUCACUGAACAAAACACUUUUGUGACCACCUAGUCCCUGUAUGUUCUUUAUGUUUUGUUCAAUACUUUUCAUUUUCCUGGCCAUCUCAUCUGGCUCAACCGUCUUGGCAGGCUUUUCAUUUUCCACUGGUGACUCAUAUUGAGAGGUCUGAUUAUAUGGAGCCGAGACCCCAAAAGCCAUAUUUGGAGAGUAGUAUUGGCCAUCAUAAGCAUGAGAUGGUGGCUCGUUGAUUGGCCUCGUCACAGAAUGUGGUGGUGGGAUUAUGUAUACCGGUGUGCCUGACAUGACUAGAGAAGUGUUCCUAACCGGUGUGACUGGAGGUCGCACAUUAUAUGUGCCAGGAGCAGCAUGGAGGCUGUAGUUUGGCACAUACCCUGGUGGUAGAAAGUGAUCGCUCAUAGCAUGGAGUGGUGGUUGAGUAGCCAGGGGUACGGUAGAAGUUCCCUCCGAGGGACCCCGGGGUGGAGGCUAACCAGACACCCAAGCUUGAUAUAUAUCAAAUAAUUACUAUCUCAAUUUUAUUAUUUCUUCCGACUCUUGUUCGACUGACUGGCCCUGGGGGUCGUCACUGACCAGCUCAAUCUCAUCAUCGUUAGCCAUUACUACUAUUCCCUUAGAUCUGGUGAGGUAAUAGUGUGUUGCCAAUUUCACCACAAACCAACCAUCUUAAGAUUACUAUAUAAGAGACAGCAAACGUGUUAGGGUUAAGAAUUUUAUCAAUAUGAAUCACACGUAAUAUGCCAUACUCUUAUUAAUGUCACUAUUUCUAACAUAUUUUUGGAGGCUUCAUGUUUCAUUCCGGCUUAUCAGGUUUCUUCUUAUUGACGCUCUUUUCUUCUUCUCUCUUUUGUUUUCACUCACGGCUCAUUUUGAUCCCUCAUCUUAGAAUCAUUGAAAAAUAUUUUGAUCGAACCUUUUGUGGGUUGCCUAUGUAUCAUGUAGUCAUAUGAAUCAGAUCAUUACGUAGUUCAAGGGCAUGACCAUUUUCAAAUUUUUCUGAAACAAAAAUCUCUUUCAUUGAUUUUCAACUUCUAUUAUUAUUAUUAUUAUUAUUUUUUUCUAUUUUUUUAAUAGAAGACCCCAAAAAACAAAAUUACAAAAAGACGAACAUCUAAACAAGAACAAACUUUUUAGGAUAAAAAAAACAACAAUACUUAACAUACCAAAAGACUCUUACAGACUCGAUGAUAACAAAUGAACAAUCAAAAUGGAAGGCCAAGUAAAAUGAGACUCUGAUCUGUGCGGGAGAAUCCAACAGCAUUAUUGUAGUCAAAUCACUUAUUCCUGUGGCUGACCCUUAACAUCGCGAUAUAUCCUCUCUAGGUCUGCAGAUAUGUGAUGGGCGACGUUCAAUGAUACUUCUGCAAAUCGCUCAGUCGUUAUUCCCCGGUAACUCCUGCAUGCUCGGGAGGUAUAUGUGGCUACCUCGAUGAUUUUUCCCUUAAUGUGUUCCUGAGCCAAAUGCAACUUUUGAUUAUGCUGACCACGGGUCUCAGCUAGAUCUAGCGCAUCAUGCUCGCGCUCCAAGGCCAUAUCUCUCUGGUGCCUAAUUUCUAGUGACUCUCCCUCCAACCGAUUGAUCAUACUUUGGUAGUGAUGUCUUUCUAUUUCAAACUCCGUGAUCUGGCGCUCCUUGCUUGACUCAACUCCCCCUAUCUGAUCCCUCAGACCUCAGAUUAAUGGAGCAAAACCUCUGCGCUCAUGAUCACGGACCACAUUGAACUGGGCUUCUCUUUCUUGUUGUUGUUGAGUUGUAGUGAUCAUUUUUUCCUGUCUAAUUUGAGCUUUGAGUUCUCUCCUCUCUUGUGCCCAAUGAGCCUUUUCCCGCUCGAAAUCAGCCUGUUGUAUGUCCAUGGCUUUUCCCAGAAUGCCCUUAUCUUCUUGUAAAAUGUCAAUACAAGAUUGGUACUCUUGUGCCACUUCCCUUCCGAUUUCUUUAACUCUGGCCUUGAUCUCUUCCUCCCAAUCAAACGCGUUCCGUAUGGCUCUUUCUGGCCUUUGCUCUGGGAUAUCCUGGUUGUGAAACCACUCAAGGUAUGCGAAGCUUACCUCCCCACGUUUACGAUCAACUACCAUCUCGUCCAAGUCGGAACAUCAACCACCCAACCAAACCUUUUGUGUAUAUGACUCCCUUGGAAGUUCCUCUCCCUUGAAUUCCCACAAAAACGGUCGCAUGUCUUCAAUCGGGGGCCUCUUUUGCUCUCUCCCUAGCUGUCGCAUGACACGUAGGGGUGUGUAGGGUUGGAAACCUCUAAAACCCAUGAGUAUAAAGAACAGGCGAUAUGUCGACAUAUGCAUGACCCUAGCAGAAGGGAACUAAUAAUAGUUCUAAGUGAUUUUAUCAACACUCAAUGAACCAAGUAAUGUUCGCCAGGCCCUCACCCCCUCUGGAAGAUUACAACUCGCGGUCCUGUCCGGGUGACAUCCAAUAUAAUUCAACCAAUUAUCAUUGAAAUUUACUACUAUUGGAUGGUGAUAAAGGUACUCUAUGAACCACAUCUGCAGCAUAAUGUUGCAUACCUUGAAGUAAUCUUUACCCUCUUGGCAACGGGUCAAUGCUCGAAAAAUAUCUCCUAGAAUCAUGGGAAGAAUGGUAUGAUCCUUGCUACUUUGAAAAUACGAGACUACCGCAGCCAAUAGAAUUCUGAUGCUCCCACCACGCUCUGGAAAGACCAUGGUACCCAGAAAUGAUAUCAUGAACACGAAGAUUCUCAACUCCCUCCAGACUUCGUAACUCAAUUGGUUGAUGAAUUCUGUGCCCGAGAAGUUCUCAAACCCUUUCUUAUCCCCAAAUCUGUCAUAGAAAUAUUCCAACGGAACCCAACCUUCGUCCAAGCAACCCAUUGGAAUUCGACGGAGGCAUAAUGUUUUCAAAAGGUUGUUCAUACCAACAUUUCUCGGAGCAGCAGGCUUUUUCCCACGAAGGUCUCUCCCCAAUCCGGUAAACCCACCUAAUUCUUCCAAUGUAGGCGUCAUUUCACAAUCUUUGAGCCAGAAGACAUUGUUUUCAAAAGGGGCUCGAUUAAAUCUCUGUCAGGCUUAAUUCCCAUGACGUUUGGGAGGAACCUGAGGUGCUUAAAUACUUGAUUCUGUUCCCAUGUAAAAAAACCAAGCCACCAAUUAUGGAGACUACUCGGGAUUUUAUCUCUGAUCGAGAACAUAGGAGGUGUCUCGUCCCUAACCCUUUUCUCACUGCUUCUUUGUAGAGAAUUCAUGGUGAACCUAAUAAUAAGAAGAAAGGGGGUCAUGACUUACCUAAACUAUAUGCAAAAGACUCAAUUUAUUUUUUAAAAUUAGCCAACACAAAAGGUGAAAUGAUAAAAGUAGGGAAACUGGCUAUUAUUACGAAAAUAACCCUCUGAUACUUCCACGGAAGGCUUAAAGGAUGUACCGGCAAAAACUGCCAAAUAUAGGGACAAAAUGAUAAAAAAAGUAGUCAAAAUAAAUUAAAAGGCUAUUUUUACGAAAAUGGCCCUUCGGUACUCCCGGGGGAGGUUCAAUGGCUGUCUUGGCAAAACGGCCGGAAUACGAGGACAAAAUAGUAAAAGGUUGCCUACGUAUCUCACAUCCGGUGAGAAUCAAACCUGCGUAGUUCGGUGAAAUCGAGUAGUUUUCUCUUUUGAUUUUUAUGAAAAUUAAUCUUUACAUCUCACGCCUAGUUACUACAAAAUCUUAGUAAAAAAGGAUUAUCUCUACUAAACUAGGAGAAUGAUUUAUUUAUUUAUUUUUUAAUAAUUCCGCUCAACUAAUUUUUUAAAGCCGGUCAACAAUGCAAGCAAGCCUUCCAAAUGAUAUAACAAGUAGCACAUAAGUGAACAUGAUGGUCUCAAAGAGGAUACUUGUCUUAUACGGAUCCGACCCCUAUGCCGAGUUUCGCUAAGUCAAAUGCAUGUGAUGCAAAUAAAGUGAACCUACUAGGGAUAUUCGGCAUGAGGUUUGUUCUUCUAUGUUUAAAUCCUAUUGGAGAAGGUAUCUAGACUGGCUUACACGAUCUGACAACUCGAGCCGAGGAGGGUCAGCGUACCGGUAGUAUUGCUUUUCGGCUUAGCUGGUGGUGCUCCCCGCCUAAAACAUAUGUGACUAAAAAUCCUUCAUCGGGUGACAAGCACCUCAGCUAUCUCAAAGAAACUAGGCUAUGUCAAGCAAAUGCCCAAUUUUUAUUUUCAAGAAGACUUAGAAGGGACGCAUGAGAAGACAGUUUAUAUGUACAGUUUAACAAUAUCAAAGCGGUAAAAAGCUAACAGGUAGCACAUUAGACACAAAUAAAUCGCAAUAUAUACAAAAUUAAUAAAGCUAAGUAAAAAGUUCAACAUGUGCAAGCUCGAAUUCUGGUUAGGUCCCCAGCAGAGUCGCCAGAGUUGUCACACCCUUUUUUCUACCCCCGAAAAGACACGUGUUAUGUCAUGGAUUGUGGGUUAAAGAGUUUUUCCAAUCGAAGUGACAAAUUUGAGUAGGGAUUAUUUUAUUUACAAUGUCGCCACUUGGAAUUGAUUUUUUGGGUGUUCCAAGUCACCUUUUAUUUGAAUCCCUAUUCAAAGGAAGAUUUGACUCUUUUAUCACUGGCAUGCGAAAAUAAAGUCCGGGUAAGAAAUUCUGUUGACCGGGGAGAAGGUGUAAGACAUUCCCCGAGUCCCGUGGUUCUAGCACGAUCGCUUUAUUGACUACAACUUGGCUUGAGUUAAUUUUGGAUAAACUGUGAUUUAUUGGUUUCUAUGUUUUAUCUAUACGCUUUUAAUUAUUAAUAUAUGAAAUUAGCUUUGAAACAAAUCACGUGUGUAAAUCCGCUUUAUUUAUUGUGCCAAAAUUAUGUCACGCUUACGUGUACACAAUUAAUAGUAUUUUUAUUAUAUUAAGAUUGUUUUGGCCAAAGUUGCACGAACACAUACUUCGGUUUUAAUUUUUAAAAUUAUAAUUAUGCCACACGAACGUAUAAAUAACCGCGAUAAACUAAUUAAAAGCACGCCUAAAAUACUCUAUUGGUAUUCAAAAGUUAUUUUCCUGAACUACUUUGAGUUUUGUUACGAGGUCAUUGUUUAGGGAUAUUAUUAAUUCAAAUUAACUAUCAAAAGUUUACUGCCUACUAAACUUUUUUCUACGCCAACUAUACCAAACAACAACUUAUCCAAUUUAACAAAUAUUUCUUAAACAUAAUAAAAUGGUCUAAGCACUCGAGUACUCCAAUUGCCAAUUAACCCAGAAACCAAACUCAAUGGCUAUAUCCAAACAAAUAGUAAGGAGACAAACUCCAUGAAUUUCACAAUACAAAAAGCACGUGUUCAUAAGCAUGGCAGUAAAUCAAACAAAAAUGGAAAGAAUAAACCUCCAACCAAUUUACUUAACUUUUACAUACAUUUAUCAAAUAGCCAUUCAUGCUCCUUUCACGUCCUUUUAUAUCCAUGCCACACAGUAGCUUUAUUGAUUCAAGUAAGUAAGGUAUAAACAGCUACUGAUCAAACAGUAAUUAAGGCCAAAUUAAACCAGAAACCAUGGCUCUUGAAGUACUACGUUGGAAAUUAUUGAGUUUAAACAAAUUUUCCAUUUCAGAAAAGGGCCAAAUAAGCAAAAUCAAGGUAAUAGACCCAAUUCUCUUGUAGCAUAAAUCCAAAUCUCUCUUUGUUUUUUAGCUUAAACAAACAAAAGCGUCAUAUCUCAAUCUACUAAUGAAACUAGACAAGCUUAAUACUAAUAAAUAAUUCAUCUCAAUAAAUAAAUAACUGAAACAUGACAAAGCUCAUGAGAGCUAAAUAGAUAACGUGAAGAUUCAAAAAAGAUUUGCUAAGAAAAACUUCUAUAUUUGAAGGAUGAGUGCAAAAAAGAAGUAAUAGGUGAGUAACGGACCUUUGGUAUAAAUCAACCAGAUUGGAAUUACAAGAGGUUAAACAACUCGACAAUUCUUGACCAGAGCUUUCGCCGGUGAACCUGGACGGAAUCGGCAACUCGAGACCUCAACGGAAACCUCAACCUCCACUUCGAUGCCACUAUUUACGCUCAAUACGGGGAUGUUCAGAGGGUAUGCUUAGCUGGGAAGAAGGCCGUUUUUGGGUGGUUUUGGAGUGGAGAGGAAAGCUGGGUUUAGAGGCCCUUUUUGCUGGUGGUUAGUGGCUAACUUUAAUGGAUAUUAACAUGAGUUUUGGGGCUGGUUUGAGCUCGAAUUUUGGCUGGGGUUUUGAUGGUGUUUAUUGGCUUAAACUGGGCGACAUUUUGGGGCUGGUUUAGGAGCUUUACGUGGUAGUAUUAAUGGAGGCUUGUUGAUGGAGUUUGGUGAAGGAAAAAAAGAGCUUUUAUUUGUUGCCUAAUAAUGGAGAAGCAGACCAGAAAGAAGAUGACAAUUAUUUGGGCGCUCAUCCCCCCUUUUUCUUUCUUUUUUUAGGGGGAGAUUCGUGUAUUUUUUUGAAGGAGG